rnacentral:rRNA from 1 species
AGAGUUUGAUCCUGGCUCAGAUUGAACGCUGGCGGCAGGCCUAACACAUGCAAGUCGAGCGGAUGAUGGGAGCUUGCUCCCGGAUUCAGCGGCGGACGGGUGAGUAAUGCCUAGGAAUCUGCCUGGUAGUGGGGGACAACGUUUCGAAAGGAACGCUAGUACCGCAUACGUCCUACGGGAGAAAGCAGGGGACCUUCGGGCCUUGCGCUAUCAGAUGAGCCUAGGUCGGAUUAGCUAGUUGGUGGGGUAAAGGCCUACCAAGGCGACGAUCCGUAACUGGUCUGAGAGGAUGAUCAGUCACACUGGAACUGAGACACGGUCCAGACUCCUACGGGAGGCAGCAGUGGGGAAUAUUGGACAAUGGGCGAAAGCCUGAUCCAGCCAUGCCGCGUGUGUGAAGAAGGUCUUCGGAUUGUAAAGCACUUUAAGUUGGGAGGAAGGGCAGUAAGUUAAUACCUUGCUGUUUUGACGUUACCAACAGAAUAAGCACCGGCUAACUUCGUGCCAGCAGCCGCGGUAAUACGAAGGGUGCAAGCGUUAAUCGGAAUUACUGGGCGUAAAGCGCGCGUAGGUGGUU